rnacentral:rRNA from 1 species
UCGGACGGGUGAGUAACGCGUGGAAAACCUGCCGUAUACUGGGGGAUAACACUUAGAAAUAGGUGCUAAUACCGCAUAAGCGCACAGCUUCGCAUGAAGCGGUGUGAAAAACUCUGGUGGUAUACGAUGGUUCCGCGUCUGAUUAGCUAGUUGGUGGGGUAAUGGCCUACCAAGGCAACGAUCAGUAGCCGGCCUGAGAGGGUGAACGGCCACAUUGGGACUGAGACACGGCCCAAACUCCUACGGAAGGCAGCAG